rnacentral:misc_RNA from 1 species
GAUGAAGAACGCAGCGAAAUGCGAUACUUGGUGUGAAUUGCAGAAUCCCGUGAACCAUCGAGUCUUUGAACGCAAGUUGCGCCUCAAGCCAUUAGGUUGAGGGCACGUCUGCCUGGGCGUCACAUAUCGUUGCCUGAUGCCAGUUUCCUCGUGAUGGGUGACUGUGCAGGGCGAAUGAUGGCUUCCCGUGAGCACUGUUGCCUCAUGGUUGGUUGAAAAUUGAGUCCUUGGUAGGGAGCGCCGUGAUAGAUGGUGGUUGAGUGACGAACGAGACCCAAUCAUGUGAGACCCCUACCGAAUUUGGCCUUCAUGACCCACAUGCGUCUUUGGAACGCUCAUGACGAGACCUCAGGUCAGGCGGGGCUACCCGCUGAGUUUAAGCAUAUCAAUAAGCGGAGGA